UACGUAGGCAGCGAGCGUUGUUCGGAGUUACUGGGCGUAAAGGGUGUGUAGGCGGUUGUUUAAGUUUGGUGUGAAAUCUUCCGGCUCAACUGGGAGGGUGCGCCGAAUACUGAAUGACUUCGAGUGCGGGAGAGGAAAGUGGAAUUCCUGGUGUAGCGGUGAAAUGCGUAGAUAUCAGGAGGAACACCGGUGGUGU
rnacentral:rRNA from 1 species